rnacentral:rRNA from 1 species
AACGAACGCUGGCGGCAUGCCUAACACAUGCAAGUCGAACGAGACCUUCGGGUCUAGUGGCGCACGGGUGCGGAACGCGUGGGAAUCUACCCUCAGGUUCGGAAUAACUCAGAGAAAUUUGAGCUAAUACCGGAUGAUGACGUAAGUCCAAAGAUUUAUCGCCUGAGGAUGAGCCCGCGUAGGAUUAGGUAGUUGGUGAGGUACAGGCUCACCAAGCCGACGAUCCUUAGCUGGUCUGAGAGGAUGAUCAGCCACACUGGGACUGAGACACGGCCCAGACUCCUACGGGAGGCAGCAGUGGGGAAUAUUGGACAAUGGGCGAAAGCCUGAUCCAGCAAUGCCGCGUGAGUGAUGAAGGCCUUAGGGUUGUAAAGCUCUUUUACCCGGGAUGAUAAUGACAGUACCGGGAGAAUAAGCUCCGGCUAACUCCGUG